UACGGGGGGGGCAAGCGUUGUUCGGAAUUACUGGGCGUAAAGGGCUCGUAGGCGGCCAACUAAGUCAUACGUGAAAUCCCUCGGCUUAACCGGGGAACUGCGUCUGAUACUGGAUGGCUUGAGUUCGGGAGAGGGAUGCGGAAUUCCAGGUGUAGCGGUGAAAUGCGUAGAUAUCUGGAGGAACACCGGUGGCGAAGGCGGCAUCCUGGACCGAUACUGACGCUGAGGAGCGAAAGCCAGGAGAGCAAACGGG
rnacentral:rRNA from 1 species